UACAGAGGUCUCAAGCGUUGUUCGGAUUCAUUGGGCGUAAAGGGCGCGUAGGCGGCGGGGUAAGUCGGGUGUGAAAUCUCAGAGCUCAACUCUGAAACUGCACUCGAUACUGCUCUGCUUGAGGACUGGAGAGGAGACUGGAAUUCACGGUGUAGCAGUGAAAUGCGUAGAUAUCGUGAGGAAGACCAGUGGCGAAGGCGGGUCUCUGGACAGUUACUGACGCUGAGGCACGAAGGCCAGGGGAGCAAACGGG
rnacentral:rRNA from 1 species